GAUGAACGCUGGCGGCGUGCCUAAUACAUGCAAGUCGAGCGAACGGACGAGAAGCUUGCUUCUCUGAUGUUAGCGGCGGACGGGUGAGUAACACGUGGAUAACCUACCUAUAAGACUGGGAUAACUUCGGGAAACCGGAGCUAAUACCGGAUAAUAUUUUGAACCGCAUGGUUCAAAAGUGAAAGACGGUCUUGCUGUCACUUAUAGAUGGAUCCGCGCUGCAUUAGCUAGUUGGUAAGGUAACGGCUUACCAAGGCAACGAUGCAUAGCCGACCUGAGAGGGUGAUCGGCCACACUGGAACUGAGACACGGUCCAGACUCCUACGGGAGGCAGCAGUAGGGAAUCUUACGCAAUGGGCGAAAGCGUGACGGAGCAACGCCGCGUGAGUGAUGAAGGUCUUCGGAUCGUAAAACUCUGUUAUUAGGGAAGAACAUAUGUGUAAGUAACUGUGCACAUCUUGACGGUACCUAAUCAGAAAGCCACGGCUAACUACGUG
rnacentral:rRNA from 1 species